rnacentral:lncRNA from 1 species
UAGGGUCUUCUAUACUUAUUCUUACACUAAGGUUUGAAGGCGCAGCCAAUUCAGUUUCUUUCUCCUCUCGAUUGCCUCUCAUGUUCUCUCUCUAAAAAUUUCAUCUAUUAAUCACCUAAUUUCUGAAUGUGCCCAAAAAGCUCCUCGACGUGGAUAAUUGCCUUCGUAUUAAUCUUGAGUGAUUUCAGAAGGUGUAUUGAUGCUAUUUUUAGAGAACAACUACUGUCGAUGUAGCGAGGCUUAUGUAGAAAUUAUCUUGAGUGAUAUUUUUGAGUGCCAUGAGAUGUGUAAUUUGGACAGUUUCUUGAUUCAGUUGAUAUAGUGAUUUUCUUCUGGUUUGAUGGAAGCUCAAAAGGAGAUUAGGAACGAAGUUCCGAAUCUCUUGCCUUAGGGCGAAAAUCGCGUGUUCCCUUUUGUAUUCUUAUGUUUUCAGUUUCUUGUUUCAUUAUUUUAUAAUUUUUGUUGAUUAAAUUUGGCUAACGAACAGCAGAAUGUCUCGUGUAUCAAGUUAAAAUAAGAAAACUGUGAUGCUUUAUGUAAGAAGAAUGCUUGAGCCUAUAUUUCACUUCUUGUGUUCUUACUGUUAUAAAUCAUCAUUUACGUCUCCCAAUGGCGGAACCCACUUGCCACAGACCCAUUCAUGAUGAAGGUGGAGUUGGGACUCGUCGAACUCAAUUUGCUCACAGGAACUUCG